ACAUCGGUGGUUCAGUGGUAGAAUGCUCACCUGCCACCCCGGACGGCCCGGGUUCGAUUCCCGGCCGAUGCA
rnacentral:tRNA from 1 species